rnacentral:misc_RNA from 1 species
UCUCCGUUGGUGGACCAGCGGAGGGAUCAUUACCGAGUUGUACCAACUCCCAAACCCCUGUGAACAUACCGCACGUUGCUUCGGCGGACCGCCCCGGCGCCCGAACCCCCCGGGGGCGACGGCCCGGACCCAGGCGCCCGCCGGGGGACCCAAACCUCGCCUUCGCUUUUAGUGGAAUCUCCCUCUGAGUACAGAAGACGAACGAAUCAAAACUUUCAACAACGGGUCUCUUGGUUCUG